GAGUGAUCAAGUGUCUUAAGGGCAUUUGGUGGAUGCCUUGGCAUGCACAGGCGAUGAAGGACGUGAUACGCUGCGAUAAGCGUCGGGGAGGUGCGAAUACCCUUUGAUCCGACGAUUUCCGAAUGGGGCAACCCACCUUAGAUAGCUAGAAAAUCAAUUUAGUUGGAGCAACGCUGUUGGGUUUAGGCCCAUACAGACCGCUAGGUCGUCGGCCCAUGUGGGCCGCCCCCGCGGAGCGCCAGCAUCGUAAGAUGCGUACGGCGCGUGAGCGAGAACUAAAUUAAUUUCUAGUUAUCGUAAUAAGGUAUCUACACCUGAAUACAUAGGGUGUUAGAAGCGAACCUGGGGAACUGAAACAUCUAAGUACCCAGAGGAAAGGACAUCAAACGAGACUCCGCUAGUAGUGGCGAGCGAACGCGGACCAGGCCAGUGGCAAUAGGGAAUAAAGUGGAAGAACCUGGAAAGGUUUGCCGAAGUGGGUGAUAGCCCCGUACACGUAGAACACCUGUUGUCCUNAACAUGGGUCGACCACGAUCCAAGCCUAAGUACUCGUGCAUGACCGAUAGCGAACCAGUACCGUGAGGGAAAGGUGAAAAGCACCCCGACGAGGGGAGUGAAACAGUACCUGAAACCGGAUGCCUACAAACAGUUGGAGCCCAAGGUUCGUCCUGGGUGACAGCGUACCUUUUGUAUAAUGGGUCAGCGACUUAGUGUAUCGAGCAAGCUUAAGCCGGUAGGUGUAGGCGCAGCGAAAGCGAGUCUGAACAGGGCGUUCAGUUCGAUGCAUUAGACCCGAAACCAAGUGAUCUAGCCAUGAGCAGGUUGAAGGUACGGUAACACGUACUGGAGGACCGAACCCAUAUCUGUUGCAAUAGAUCGGGAUGACUUGUGGCUAGGGGUGAAAGGCCAAUCAAACUUGGAGAUAGCUGGUUCUCCGCGAAAUCUAUUUAGGUAGAGCGUCCAGCGAAUACCCCCGGGGGUAGAGCACUGAAUGGGCUAUGGGGACUCACCGUCUUACUGAUCCUAAUCAAACUCCGAAUACCGGGGAGUACUACUGGGCAGACACACGGCGGGUGCUAACGUCCGUCGUGGAGAGGGCAACAACCCUGACCACCAUCUAAGGUCCCUAAGUUAUGGCUAAGUGGGAAAGGAUGUGAGGAUCCCAAAACAACCAGGAUGUUGGCUUAGAAGCAGCCAUCAUUUAAAGAAAGCGUAACAGCUCACUGGUCUAAAUAAGGGUCUUUGCGCCGAAAAUGUACCGGGGCUAAAGCCAUACACCGAAGCUGUGGAUGCACAUUUGUGCGUGGUAGCGGAGCGUUCCGUAAGCCUGUGAAGGGACAGUCGUGAGACAUCCUGGAGGUAUCGGAAGUGAGAAUGCUGACAUGAGUAACGAUAAAGGGAGUGAGAGACUCCCUCGCCGAAAGUCCAAGGGUUCCUGCUUAAAGUUAAUCUGAGCAGGGUUAGCCGGCCCCUAAGGCGAGGCCGAAAGGCGUAGUCGAUGGGAACCACGUUAAUAUUCGUGGGCCUGCAGGUAGUGACGGAUCGCGUGUGUUGUAAGGUCUUAUUGGAUUGAUCUUGCAGCGAAGCGGUUCCAGGAAAUAGCUCCUGCAUAUAGACCGUACCCUAAACCGACACUGGUGGACUGGUAGAGAAUACCAAGGCGCUUGAGAGAACUGCGUUGAAGGAACUCGGCAAAAUGCACGCGUAACUUCGGAAGAAGCGUGACCUCCAUUUAGGCAACUAGGUGGGGGUGGCACAGACCAGGGGGUAGCGACUGUUUACCAAAAACACAGGGCUCUGCGAAGUCGCAAGACGACGUAUAGGGUCUGACGCCUGCCCGGUGCUGGAAGGUUAAGAGGAGAUGUGCAAGCAUUGAAUUGAAGCCCCAGUAAACGGCGGCCGUAACUAUAACGGUCCUAAGGUAGCGAAAUUCCUUGUCGGGUAAGUUCCGACCUGCACGAAUGGCGUAACGACUUCCCCGCUGUCUCCAACGCAGACUCAGUGAAAUUGAAUUCCCCGUGAAGAUGCGGGGUUCCUGCGGUUAGACGGAAAGACCCCGUGCACCUUUACUAUAGCUUUACACUGGCAUUCGUGUCGGCAUGUGUAGGAUAGGUGGUAGACUUUGAAGCAGUGGCGCCAGCCAUUGUGGAGUCAUCCUUGAAAUACCACCCUUGCCUAUAUGGAUGUCUAACUGCGGCCCGUUAUCCGGGUCCAGGACCGUGUAUGGUGGGUAGUUUGACUGGGGCGGUCGCCUCCUAAAGAGUAACGGAGGCGCGCGAUGGUAGGCUCAGAACGGUCGGAAAUCGUUCGUCGAGUGCAAUGGCAUAAGCCUGCCUGACUGCAAGACUGACAAGUCGAGCAGAGACGAAAGUCGGUCAUAGUGAUCCGGUGGUCCCGCGUGGAAGGGCCAUCGCUCAACGGAUAAAAGGUACGCCGGGGAUAACAGGCUGAUGACCCCCAAGAGUCCAUAUCGACGGGNNNNNNNNNNNNNNNNNNNNNNNNNNNNNNNNNNNNNNNNNNNNNNNNNNNNNNNNNNNNNNNNNNNNNNNNNNCCCUAGUACGAGAGGACCGGGAUGGACGUAUCUCUGGUGGACCUGUUGUCGUGCCAACGGCAUAGCAGGGUAGCUAUAUACGGACGGGAUAACCGCUGAAGGCAUCUAAGCGGGAAACCCACCUAAAAACGAGUAUUCCCUAUCAGAGCCGUGGAAGACUACCACGUUGAUAGGCCGGGUGUGGAAGUGCGGCAACGCAUGUAGCUU
rnacentral:rRNA from 1 species